UCUCCAAGAUGCUAUGAGACCACAGGA
rnacentral:piRNA from 1 species